rnacentral:tRNA from 1 species
UCCGGAUUAGCUCAGCGGUAGAGCAGCGGACUGUUAAUCCGUUAGUCGCUGGUUCAAAUCCAGCAUCCGGAG